AUUGAACGCUGGCGGCAUGCCUUACACAUGCAAGUCGAACGGUAACAGGUUAAGCUGACGAGUGGCGAACGGGUGAGUAAUGUAUCGGAACGUGCCCAGUCGUGGGGGAUAACUACUCGAAAGAGUGGCUAAUACCGCAUACGACCUGAGGGUGAAAGCGGGGGACCGUAAGGCCUCGCGCGAUUGGAGCGGCCGAUAUCGGAUUAGCUAGUUGGUGGGGUAAAAGCCCACCAAGGCGACGAUCUGUAGCUGGUCUGAGAGGACGACCAGCCACACUGGGACUGAGACACGGCCCAGACUCCUACGGGAGGCAGCAGUGGGGAAUUUUGGACAAUGGACGCAAGUCUGAUCCAGCCAUGCCGCGUGCGGGAAGAAGGCCUUCGGGUUGUAAACCGCUUUUGUCAGGGAAGAAACGAGUUUCUCUAAUACAGAGACUUAAUGACGGUACCUGAAGAAUAAGCACCGGCUACUACGUGCCAGCCGCCGCCGUAAUAC
rnacentral:rRNA from 1 species